GUGACGUCACUUCCUCCCACCGGAGAUAGCCGCGCGGGAGGAGGAAGGCAGGGAGGAGGGGAGUUCAAGAAGAGAACUCCCAUCUGCCUCAGCCUGCCACUGGACCAGGGAAACCACCCUCCAGGAAAAGGUAAGAACCUGGAGGGUGGCUAAAUGUAUGUCAGUAGGUCUGUGUGUGUGUGUAUGUCUGUGUGUGUGUGCCAGUAUGUCUGUGUGUGUGUGUCAGUGUGUCUGUGUGUUUGUGUGUGUGUCAGUAUGUCUGUGUGUAUG